AAAUGCCUGUUCUACUAAUUUACAGUGUAACUAGGUUACACCCAUUAGGCGGGUGAUCUAUGGUAGAAGGGAAUGAGCAUGAUAAAGGUGUACUAAAUAUAACUUGAACUUUCUUUUGGUUGUUACACACGAUGUGUAUAUGAGAUGAGAUAACUUUCAUACUUACAUUUGAAGUUACCUUACUAAGAACUAGUAUGUCAAAGACAUGGUUAUAUUAAAUAAUUUGCUCUAAAUGUAUGAAAAAGUGAGUUGAACGUGGAUAUUAACUUUGUAUGAUUCUCGUAUUGACGUUAUUGCAAUCUCACAUAUAAUGGUCGUAAUUCCUGAAGUUGUUCUUUGCUAGCUUUGCUCUUGGUUGGGUAAUCACGAAUUGUGCUAGCCUUGCAUCCUAUCCAAUUGACACUGUCCAUAGAAGAAUGAUGAUGACAUCUGGUGAAGCAGACUUGAGUUCCUUUGAUGCAUUCUCUCAAAUCCUCAAGAAUGAGGGUCCCAAAUCUCUCUUUAAGCAAAUAUACUUCAUCCUAGUCCCAUUGUCCUUCGUUGUCAAAGUGGUCUCAAUUUCACUUUGUUGGUUUUUUAUUCAUAUGCAAUUAUAAUUUGCUCAUUUUCAAACUAUUACCAAUUUCAAGUUUGGGAGAAGCUUUUACUGAACAUUGAUGAUCAUUGUCUCCAUAUCAUUUGUCUCCCAAGGUUUUGUUUGACCCUAGAUGUUAUUUGGUUUGGAAUUAUAUGUAUGCUUAUGUCAAACGUUAGGACACAAGGGUUGAUUUUAAGUAGAGGGACAAAUUAUGGCUCA